GUUAGUAUAUAGGCUAUCCACAUCUAUUGUAAACAGAUAUGUGUUAGGGGUUACCGUUAUGCUCUUAAUCUUGUGUAGGAAAUCGUACGUGUCCUUGAUGUAACUCGGAUGUCCGUGCGCUAAAGGAUUCAAGUAAUGAUCAAUAUACUGCGCUAUGUUAUAUGAUUCACUCUCACAGUCCGAUACGAUGGGUCGCCCCGGCGGGACCUCCCCAGGGACCGUCCAUGCCUUCGGAUCUUUAUGGAUCUUGGAGUUCCCUAAUGGCUGCUCUCUGUACAGUAGAGAGAUUAUCUGUACGGGCUAUGGAACAGGCAUGGAUGUCCCUCCAGAGGUCCCGCCGGAUAUCCUGGUUGGGGAGAGGAAUAAAGGUUAGGC